rnacentral:rRNA from 1 species
UACGGAGGGUGCGAGCGUUGUCCGGAAUCACUGGGCGUAAAGGGCGCGUAGGUGGCGCGGGCAGUCAACGGUGAAAGUUCGGGGCUCAACCCCGAAUCGGCCGUCGAUACUCCCGGGCUCGAGCACUGUAGAGGCUAAUGGAAUUCCGGGUGGAGCGGUGAAAUGCGUAGAGAUCCGGAGGAACACCAACGGCGUAGGCAGCGCCCUAGACGAGACCUGACGCUCAGGCACGAAAGCGCGGGGAGCGAACAGG